AGCUCCAAUAGCGUAUAUUAAAGUUGUUGCGGUUAAAAAGCUCGUAGUUGGAUUUCUGCCGAGGACGACCUGUCCACCCACUGGGUGCGCACGAGGUUCGGCUUUGGCAUAAUCUUGGAGAACGCCGCUGCGAUUCAUUUUGUGGGGUGGUAUCCAAGACCUUUACUUUGAGGAAAUUAGAGUGUUUCAAGCAGGCAUACGCCUUGAAUACAUUAGCAUGGAAUAAUGAGAUAGGGCCACGGCGGUCUAUUUUGUUGGUUUGCACGUUGUGGUAAUGAUUAACAGGAACGGUUGGGGGUAUUCGUAUUCAAUUGUCAGAGGUGAAAUUCUUGGAUUUGUGGAAGACGAACUACUGCGAAAGCAUUUACCAAGGAUGUUUUCAUUAAUCAAGAACGAAAGU
rnacentral:rRNA from 1 species